UUUUUUUUUGUAAUCAGAUUUUUGAAGUUUGAUGAAGUUUAUAUAAAAAAAACAUUGAUAUUUUUAACGAAUCUAAUGGCCCAUAUUUGUUAAUCAUAAAUGCUGAUUAUUUUGUAAACUCGAUUACAUCAAAAUGAUUUAAAUCGGAUUGUGUUAUUUUUCAGAUGCAGGAAGUACUGCUCAAGAAGGGAAAAACUGGAAGCACCGCUCAAGACAGCUACAGCCUACAGCUGCAGCUAUUUUUUACAUAGCAACAGCAUACUACAUGCUAAAGUAAACGCGUCACGUACUCACAUGGCGGCUGCCAGGUGCCAGCCGGAUCCCGGAGAGCAACGAUAAAAGCAAAAGAAAAAAAAUCGAUUACUGUAUCUACAGAACACAAGAUGCCAAAGACACCCCCAGCAGCAUCUUGUGCAAGCAUGUGAACUUUCUGCGCUGUCGAGAAGGGGAAGGCCAGUGGUGGCCACAUGACUCAAGAUGCUCUCCAGCAUGAACACAGCUGUCCAACAAUCACAUCAGCUGCCGGAACAAUUCCAGAUUUCAGAUGCUGUUUUAUAGAUGAUGUAGAUUUCCCAAGAACAAGCCGCAGCGUCAGUGAAAAAAAUGGAAGAUGUCGCGGUCUCAGCUCCUGGUUGCAGAGAGCAAGAGCAUACAGUACAGCGCACACUGAAGAUACUACGGAGAAGAAUGAAUGUAGUAGUCCAAAGCGAACACAUCUGCUUCGUGCAAUCGUGUGUAGUAUACUAGUAAUAUGACAAGGGACAACGUGACGUACUAGAAACAAAUGAAAGAAUUCCAUUAAUAAUCCUCUGGAUCAUGAAUCAUGAUAUUCAUAUGUAACAGCCCAUCGCUACCCCCACUAGAAUCUCUCACAUAACCUCUGCUCUCUCAGUAUCUAAGAAAGAAUCACCCACGACCCACCCACACACACACGCACAAAAGUAAAACACGAUAGUAUAAACAGCACCGCCCGACGCCGCGGGGAGGCGUCUAGAACAUGACGGCGGCUGCGACCGCGCCGGCGACGGCGACGAAGCCGAGGGCGGAGGCGCGCGAGGCGGCGCCGCUGCCGGAAGGCGCGACGGUGGGGGCGCCGGCCGGGGUGGUGGAGACGGACGAGGUCGGGGCCUUCGCGGACGGCGCAGAGGCGGCGGGGCCCUCGGUGGGCGGGGCCGGAGGAGAGGCCAGCGGGGACGGCGCCGCGGCGGUCGGCGGCUUGGCGGCCGGCGCCGGGGCGGUGGCCGGGGACCGCACAGGGGGUGGCGGCAGCGGGGCCAUCCUGGGCGCGGCCUUGGGAGCUGUGGUCGGGGUGGCGGCCGGGGCCUGCGCCGCCGCGACGACGGCGAGGAGGGCGACGAUGGCGGCGACCACGGCGAAGCGAGCCAUUAGGAUAGUUGCGGCGGCGGAGGAGGAGGAGGAGAUAGACUCGGCUAGAGAUGCGGCUGGAGAAGCGGGCGGUUACUGGAGAGUGUGAUUUGGGAUUCUCCGGUGAAUGCUUGGACUCGAUCUGCGAGUUGUGAGU
rnacentral:lncRNA from 1 species